rnacentral:rRNA from 1 species
ACUCCUACGGGAGGCAGCAGUGGGGAAUAUUGCACAAUGGGCGCAAGCCUGAUGCAGCCAUGCCGCGUGUGUGAAGAAGGCCUUCGGGUUGUAAAGCACUUUCAGUUGUGAGGAAAGGUUAGUCGCUAAAUNUCCGGCUUAGCUGGACGUUAGCAACAGAAGAAGCACCGGCUAACUCCGUGCCAGCAGCCGCGGUAAUACGGAGGGUGCGAGCGUUAAUCGGAAUUACUGGGCGUAAAGCGCGUG